rnacentral:hammerhead_ribozyme from 1 species
UUCAGUUGACGAGUCUCUAAUAGAACGAAACGUGCGUCCUGGAA